CUUAAGAAAUUUCCCAAAAUCACACAGCUUAUCAGUGGUGGAUCCUGGUCCCUGAUAUUGUAGCCACAGUGCUUCUGGUCACUGUUCCUUUAAGGAUCUCCAUGUGCAUGCACACACAUGCACAUGCAUGGUCCCUGGGCCUGGAUCACCCUUCAUAGGACCCACACCUAUGGAGAAAGCACACCCCCACCUCCAGAACUCCAGGAAAUGACACAUCCUGUUCUGUGCCACAGGAUAGUCAGGAGUUCAAGUUUAAGGGAAAACAAGAUCUUGCACAAAGUACCCGGUGGCUGCCCUCCACAAGGGGAGGGUGACAUGGAGCGGGUCUGGCUGCUCAUCCUGUUUUCUGUCACAGAGCUGUCCCGAGCCCACAACACCACAGUGUUCCAGGGCACCGCAGGCCAGUCCCUGCUGGUCUCCUGCCCCUACGACUCCUUGAAGCACUUGGGGAGACGCAAAGCCUGGUGCCGCCAGCUGGAUGAGGAGGGCAUAUGUCAGCGAGUGGUCAGUACCCACCGCUCGUGGCUGCUGUCCUUUCUGAAGAGGCGGAACGGGAGCACAGCCAUCACGGAUGAUGCCCUGGGUGGCAUGCUCACCAUUACACUGCGGAAUCUUCAAGUCCACGAUGCUGGCCUGUACCAGUGCCAGAGCCUCCGUGGUAGCGAGGCGGAUACCCUCCAGAAGGUCCUGGUGGAGGUGCUUGCUGACCCCCUUGAUCAUCACGAUCCGGGAGAUCUCUGGAUCUCCAAGGAGUUCGAGAGCUUCCGGGAUGCUCAGGUGGAGCACAGCGUCUCCAGACUCCAGGCUGUAGGCCACCUCGAGGCCUCCCACAUGCUGUCCUUGUAUCUCCAAGGAGCCUGUCAGAAGAGGAGAGCCCCUUCCCACCCACUUCCAUCCUUCUCCUUCUGGCCUGCAUCUUUCUCAGCAAGUUACUAGUAGCCAGUGCCCUCUGGGCUGCAGCCUGGCGUGGGCAGCCGCUGAGGACACCCCCAGGCAUUGGUCUGGACUGUGGCCAUGACCCAGGCUACCAGCUCCAGACCCUAACAGGGCAGAGAGAAACAUGAGAGCAGAGGACCCUGCCCAGGAGGAGAGGUGGCAGAGAUCUGCAGAGCCCCCUCCAGCCCCCCACAGCCUGCACACCUGCCUCUGCCACCAAGACUCCUGCUUGUGCUUUGACAAAAGGCCACUCUGCUCCUGACCCCUGGAAGAAGGUGUGUGUGUGUGCAUGUGCGUGUGCAUGUGCAUGUGUGCCUGGGAGAUGGGGAGGACAUUUGUCAUUGGACUUCUGAACAUUGGACAUUGAACACUCUCACAAAUAAAUACAAGACUUCAUGUUUAA